GGGUUGUGAGGUUAAGCGACUAAGCGUACACGGUGGAUGCCCUGGCAGUCAGAGGCGAUGAAGGACGUGCUAAUCUGCGAUAAGCGUCGGUAAGGUGAUAUGAACCGUUAUAACCGGCGAUUUCCGAAUGGGGAAACCCAGUGUGUUUCGACACACUAUCAUUAACUGAAUCCAUAGGUUAAUGAGGCGAACCGGGGGAACUGAAACAUCUAAGUACCCCGAGGAAAAGAAAUCAACCGAGAUUCCCCCAGUAGCGGCGAGCGAACGGGGAGGAGCCCAGAGCCUGAAUCAGUGUGUGUGUUAGUGGAAGCGUCUGGAAAGGCGCGCGAUACAGGGUGACAGCCCCGUACACAAAAAUGCACAUAUUGUGAGCUCGAUGAGUAGGGCGGGACACGUGGUAUCCUGUCUGAAUAUGGGGGGACCAUCCUCCAAGGCUAAAUACUCCUGACUGACCGAUAGUGAACCAGUACCGUGAGGGAAAGGCGAAAAGAACCCCGGCGAGGGGAGUGAAAAAGAACCUGAAACCGUGUACGUACAAGCAGUGGGAGCACGCUUAGGCGUGUGACUGCGUACCUUUUGUAUAAUGGGUCAGCGACUUAUAUUCUGUAGCAAGGUUAACCGAAUAGGGGAGCCGAAGGGAAACCGAGUCUUAACUGGGCGUUAAGUUGCAGGGUAUAGACCCGAAACCCGGUGAUCUAGCCAUGGGCAGGUUGAAGGUUGGGUAACACUAACUGGAGGACCGAACCGACUAAUGUUGAAAAAUUAGCGGAUGACUUGUGGCUGGGGGUGAAAGGCCAAUCAAACCGGGAGAUAGCUGGUUCUCCCCGAAAGCUAUUUAGGUAGCGCCUCGUGAAUUCAUCUCCGGGGGUAGAGCACUGUUUCGGCAAGGGGGUCAUCCCGACUUACCAACCCGAUGCAAACUGCGAAUACCGGAGAAUGUUAUCACGGGAGACACACGGCGGGUGCUAACGUCCGUCGUGAAGAGGGAAACAACCCAGACCGCCAGCUAAGGUCCCAAAGUCAUGGUUAAGUGGGAAACGAUGUGGGAAGGCCCAGACAGCCAGGAUGUUGGCUUAGAAGCAGCCAUCAUUUAAAGAAAGCGUAAUAGCUCACUGGUCGAGUCGGCCUGCGCGGAAGAUGUAACGGGGCUAAACCAUGCACCGAAGCUGCGGCAGCGACGCUGAUGCGUUGUUGGGUAGGGGAGCGUUCUGUAAGCCUGCGAAGGUGUGCUGUGAGGCAUGCUGGAGGUAUCAGAAGUGCGAAUGCUGACAUAAGUAACGAUAAAGCGGGUGAAAAGCCCGCUCGCCGGAAGACCAAGGGUUCCUGUCCAACGUUAAUCGGGGCAGGGUGAGUCGACCCCUAAGGCGAGGCCGAAAGGCGUAGUCGAUGGGAAACAGGUUAAUAUUCCUGUACUUGGUGUUACUGCGAAGGGGGGACGGAGAAGGCUAUGUUGGCCGGGCGACGGUUGUCCCGGUUUAAGCGUGUAGGCUGGUUUUCCAGGCAAAUCCGGAAAAUCAAGGCUGAGGCGUGAUGACGAGGCACUACGGUGCUGAAGCAACAAAUGCCCUGCUUCCAGGAAAAGCCUCUAAGCAUCAGGUAACAUCAAAUCGUACCCCAAACCGACACAGGUGGUCAGGUAGAGAAUACCAAGGCGCUUGAGAGAACUCGGGUGAAGGAACUAGGCAAAAUGGUGCCGUAACUUCGGGAGAAGGCACGCUGAUAUGUAGGUGAAGUCCCUUGCGGAUGGAGCUGAAAUCAGUCGAAGAUACCAGCUGGCUGCAACUGUUUAUUAAAAACACAGCACUGUGCAAACACGAAAGUGGACGUAUACGGUGUGACGCCUGCCCGGUGCCGGAAGGUUAAUUGAUGGGGUCAGCGCAAGCGAAGCUCUUGAUCGAAGCCCCGGUAAACGGCGGCCGUAACUAUAACGGUCCUAAGGUAGCGAAAUUCCUUGUCGGGUAAGUUCCGACCUGCACGAAUGGCGUAAUGAUGGCCAGGCUGUCUCCACCCGAGACUCAGUGAAAUUGAACUCGCUGUGAAGAUGCAGUGUACCCGCGGCAAGACGGAAAGACCCCGUGAACCUUUACUAUAGCUUGACACUGAACAUUGAGCCUUGAUGUGUAGGAUAGGUGGGAGGCUUUGAAGUGUGGACGCCAGUCUGCAUGGAGCCGACCUUGAAAUACCACCCUUUAAUGUUUGAUGUUCUAACGUUGACCCGUAAUCCGGGUUGCGGACAGUGUCUGGUGGGUAGUUUGACUGGGGCGGUCUCCUCCUAAAGAGUAACGGAGGAGCACGAAGGUUGGCUAAUCCUGGUCGGACAUCAGGAGGUUAGUGCAAUGGCAUAAGCCAGCUUGACUGCGAGCGUGACGGCGCGAGCAGGUGCGAAAGCAGGUCAUAGUGAUCCGGUGGUUCUGAAUGGAAGGGCCAUCGCUCAACGGAUAAAAGGUACUCCGGGGAUAACAGGCUGAUACCGCCCAAGAGUUCAUAUCGACGGCGGUGUUUGGCACCUCGAUGUCGGCUCAUCACAUCCUGGGGCUGAAGUAGGUCCCAAGGGUAUGGCUGUUCGCCAUUUAAAGUGGUACGCGAGCUGGGUUUAGAACGUCGUGAGACAGUUCGGUCCCUAUCUGCCGUGGGCGCUGGAGAACUGAGGGGGGCUGCUCCUAGUACGAGAGGACCGGAGUGGACGCAUCACUGGUGUUCGGGUUGUCAUGCCAAUGGCACUGCCCGGUAGCUAAAUGCGGAAGAGAUAAGUGCUGAAAGCAUCUAAGCACGAAACUUGCCCCGAGAUGAGUUCUCCCUGACCCUUUAAGGGUCCUGAAGGAACGUUGAAGACGACGACGUUGAUAGGCCGGGUGUGUAAGCGCAGCGAUGCGUUGAGCUAACCGGUACUAAUGAACCGUGAGGCUUAACCUUACAACGCCGAAGCUGUU
rnacentral:rRNA from 1 species